rnacentral:lncRNA from 1 species
GGAGCCUGAAUCUGGAGUACCCUAAAGGGGCCCACUGGAAUUGUGCCAUCUCCAGGAGCCAUGAAAGGCAUCUAUCUCGUCCUGCUGGCCGUGCUGCUGUGCUCCCAGCAAGCCCUGAGCCUGCAGUGCUACAACUGCACUGAAGAAGAGGAUGUCAGCAAGUGCCAGACCACCAUCUCAUGUGACUCCACACCGAGCAUCUGCUAUAAGGGCGGCAGGACCUUGACCAAGACCAGUGGGCAGGUGGUCAAGUUACAUUCUAAGGGUUGUGCCUCUUCCUGCGAUGACGUUUAUGACAUGAUGGAGCAGCUGGUGGAGAAGAUGAUUUCAGAGGACAGGUCUAAGUUAGAACUGUGGGCUCCGGACUGCUGUGGAAAGGACCUCUGCAACAGGGUGGCCCAGGCUAUGCUUGGACUCCACCUCCUGCUACACCUGGGACCCAGAGACCCAGGGAAGGAGGCGGGCAGCAUCCACCCUCGGGUGACCCUCGGCCACUCCUGCCCUCCCACCUGGCCAGCCCCAGCCCCAGGCCCACCGCCCUGCUAUGCCAACAGGCCUGUCACACUUUGCGAACACCAUCAAUCAACCACAGACUCAAGAUGCAGAGACUGCCGAGCCCCGGCUGGACAGGGGCUGCUAGGAGAGCGGAGCCCAUAGCCCCUCAGCGGGUCCUCUGCAGAGCGCCCACGGCAGUCAGUAGACAAUAAAUGCUCUUCAGCCCCCUCCUGUUCUUCA